rnacentral:misc_RNA from 1 species
GAGAAAAGCCAAGAAAGCAUAGAGAUUUUGUAUAAGAGAUUGGAUUCCAGGUCCCUUGUAUCUUUCUGAUUCUUGUCUUGCACCAAUUACCUAAAGUAUAUACAUAACCAACCAAAAAACGAAAAGGUGAAAAGAGUAAAGGGAUAUCCACAUUUUAUUCUACCAGAAACCAAAAACCUUGACGAUAUAGGGCAAACCAGCCACUUCCACGUGGUACCCUUAAGAGAACAUUCUCAAUAAUAUGGAUACUAUAGGUAAAAAGAAGAAAUAUAUAUACAACCUAUUCUUUCUUUAUAUGAGAAUAAAUUAUUGGGUUCAGCAAUAUGUAUAUGAAGCCACCGACCCAGUUUGGUCCGGUAGUGUUAAAAAGCUUAGAAAAUCAGAAUUGAAGUGUCAUAUAGGACAAUGGAGUAAAAUUACUAAAAUGGUUAAUUAAUAUACUUUUUUUUUAUACUUUAUGUGAAAUAAAC